AGAAGACAAAAGAAACAGCCUAUGGACUUGGGAGCAGAUCCUGACCUGAAACUUGGUCAGCAGUGUUACUGGAAAUUUGUGCACAACAGGAGGAGGAGUUGGCCAUCUAGCAGCAGCACAGCGAAAUGAGACCAGGUGACAGAAAUUUUGGAACUGUCCGAAGACUGUGAGGUUGCUAGGAUUCCUGCUCUGCAUUUUCUAGGAGGAAUAGGGAUUGCUGUUAAACUAGUUUAUCUGCAAGAGUCUUCUGAGCAAUUUGGUCUGGAGUCACUUCAAGGCAGUAAACAACAAACCCACCCCUUUUACA